rnacentral:rRNA from 1 species
UGGUGGGGUGACUUGUCUGCUCAAUUGCGAUAACGAACGAGACCUUAACCUGCUAAAUAGCCCGCAUUGCUCCGGCAGUGCGCUGGCUUCUUAGAGGGACUUUCGGCUCAAGCCGAAGGAAGUUUGAGGCAAUAACA